rnacentral:snoRNA from 1 species
AGCAGUGUCGCUAUGCGUCUUCGCCGACUGUGCGGAGCAACGGUACGAAACACAUGCGAGAG